AAAAAAAAAAAAAAAAAAAAAAAAAAAAAAAAAAAAAAAAAAAAAAAAAAAAAAAAAAAAAAAAAAAAAAAAAAAAAAAAAAAAAAAAAAAAAAAAAAAAAAAAAAAAAAAAAAAAAAAAAAAAAAAAAAAGGGGAGGAAAAUUUACUUGAAGAAAUAAUAGCUGAAAACACCCCUAAUCUAGCAAAAGAAACAGAUAUCCAGGUCCAGGAGGCACAGAGAUCCCCCAACAAAAAUCAACCAAAGGAGGUCCACACCAAGACACAUAGUAAUAAAAAUGGAAAAAGUAGUGAUAAAAAAAAUUUAAAGCAUCAAGAGAAAAGAAAACAGUUAGAUACAAGGGAAACCCCAUAAGGUUAUAAACAGAUUUUUCAGCAGAAACUUGGCAAGCCAGAAAGGAGUGACAUGAUAUAUUCCAGGUUAUGUAAUAUAUAUAAACUACUGUACAUGCUUAAUAUUCAUGGGGACUAGCAAUUAAUGCACGAUAUACAUAGUAUGUCUUAUGUAAUAUAUAUAAACUACUGUACAUGCUUAAUAUUCAUGGGGACUAGCAAUUAAUGCACGAUAUACAUAGUAUGUCUUAUGUAUAUGGGUGUAUAAUACCAACUGGGGUGAGUUGGUGGUUAAUAGAGUAAUUUACAUUGUGUGUUUGGGUUGUGGUACUUGGGGGUUUUUACUUGGUUUUUUUGUGGGAAAUAAGGACAUACUGGGCAAGCACAGUAUGGGUAUAUGCAAUAUAUGAAUUAUGAAAGUUAUGGGGUUGCUUUCUGGUAUUGGCAAGGAAUAGUUUAAGAAAGAAUUUCAGCUUUGGGUGCUGAUAGUGGGGCUGUUGCUUCUUCCUUGAAGUCUUAGGGAGGGCAUAUGUUCUCCUUUUUUGGUUUACAAGACCAAAGUAUUUUAUAUACUACAAAGACUCUUCAUUUGAGUAGACGGUUUUCAAUAAUGCCUGAGAUGGGUAUUAGGAUUAGGAGGGUUGAGAAAUAUAGGAUGGAGGCUAGUUGGCCGAUGGUGAUGAAUGGAUGUUCUACAGGUUGGCCACCGAUUCAUGUUAGGGUUAGGAGGGUUGAGAAAUAAUCUAUUUUAAAGCUUAGUGAUAGCUUGAGAGUUUGGAUUGAUAGUCAGUGUCAGUUUGAGAUAACUGCUUCUUGUCCUGAGGAGAUAAAUAUUAUAGUUGGGAUUAUGCUGAUGAUGAAGGCGUAAGAGAUUGUGGUUUUUACAUAGUGGGGAUAUAGGCUGUUUUUAUACAGUUGGGUGUUAGAUAUAAUGAUGGGCAGGAGUAGAAUAAAUAUUGCAGUUAGUAUGAGCGGGGUGAAUAG
rnacentral:lncRNA from 1 species